GGUUGAAAAGGAUUCAAACAUCAAUUCAAAUACUAAUUUGAAUUCAAACGACCAAAAUCAAUGCGCCUGAAUGCAAUAAUUAACUCCUAUGAUUCAUUUUAGAAAAGAUUUAAAUGCCCAAGAAAUUAAAUAAAACCUUAGAAAAUCCUUAAAUCUUUAAGCAAAAGUAAUUAAAUUCUUGUAAAUUCUAACAAAUUUUAUUAAUUUGCAAAAGUUGAAAAUUAGGGGGUUACGAAACGUUCGACACGUUUACAGUGAUUCUCACUCCACUACCUCACUCUCUACGCACUCGAUCAGCUAGUAGUACAGAAUACUAGGAGUAGGUAGCAAAUCAGAUCAGCUGCCUGAGAAGUGCUGUAUGUGAGAAACAGAAAAAAGAUGAAAUAAAAAGGAACCAAGGAAUCUACCGUCCGGUUUCCUGCAAGCGACCCAAGGAAACGCGUGGAAAUUGGACGCUGGUCUGUGCACGGCCUGUGCACGGCCUGGCCUCUCUCGCAUAGUUCACGACGUCGUCGUCUAGUCGGGAUGUUUCGUCGGUUUGCCUUUGUUUCCAUUCAGGUCUACCUUAUUCCUUCCGGGUCGGGAAGAUGCAUGGAGAUUGACUACGGUGAUCCGUGGACAGGAGGUCAGGAAAACAGCACGCCAAAACCACAAGAAGCCAGUCAUGUCACGGCAAACUUUGAUGCGUUUGAACAUAGUUCUCUCGGAAAUGAAAAUAGUUUUUGACAACUAAUUGUAGUUCCCAGAAUAAACAUAAACAUAAUGUUCUACAUAGUUUUCACAGCUAUAGAGAAACAUGAUCCAGCUACAUCAACACGUUCAUCUAGUCCGAGUCACCUUCAUAUAGUAACUCGUCGUCAUCAUCAUCAUCAUCAUCUCCGGCAACAACAACUCCCUUGCCUUUCUUAUCGACAUUAACCUUACCAACAGGUAAAUCGGCAACAAGAGCCUUCAUCGUCUCCAUCUGUGCCUCUUCCGCUUUUUGUUGUAACUCUUCCAUUUCAAGCCUUCUUUUUCUUGCCCUAACUUGCUGCAAAUAUUGUUCCCAUGAACCCUCAGGGUAUUUCACAUUCGGAUCAACCACAUAACCUAAGCGAUCUCUUUCCUCCAUCAACCUUUGUUUCUCCAACUCCCUCUCCUCCUGCAACUUCCUCCUAUUUUC
rnacentral:lncRNA from 1 species